CUUCAGUUACGGUUUGUAGUUUAAUCCUAUUUCCCAUCUAGGAGACAGUGAUAGUUAUCCUAUCAUAGUCCAGCUCAAUGGAAGUGCAUGCCUUGAGUCAGUCACCUCCUAGGAUUAAAUCACAACCCACUGUAUCUAAAAUCCUUGGAGAAUAAGUGAACUUAUGUUGUUGUAUUUUCCAAGAAAAAUUCUUCACUCUCUUGGAAGAGACCAUCUUAUCCCCAUUGGCCACCUUCACUAAAAUGUGUUUAGCAGGUUCAAAAGUGCACCCUAGUGUGAUAGCUACUGGCUCACUAAUGAAACUUAGUGUACUUCCUGAAUCUAGUAGAAUAUUGAUCUUUUUCCCUUCAGCCUCUCCAACCUAAUCCCAUAGUAGUAAGCCUUCCAUUACCUGAGAUAGCACUGAGAGUGACCUGAAUCUCAUCAAUGGUUUGAUUCUCCUGUUCCUCACUUAUAUUUUCAUUUAAAACAGCUUGCAUUGCCAUAUUUUCCUCAUCUUCUGUCAUAACAAUAUAGAUUAUCCUCUGUUUGCAUAUAUGCCCUAGAACAUACUUCUCAUCACAAUUAUAACAUAACUUUUGUUCUAUCCUGACGGCCAUCUAUUCAACUGUCAGCAUCUUAAAUGAGGGACUGUGCCAUACCCUCUAGGUGGAGUUGGGGUGGGUAUAUCAGAUCUUCUGAAGCUGGUGUUGCUUGAACUAUUGUUCCUCCUAGUGUUUCUUAAUUUUUGGUAAGGGCCUCUAGAGUUUGCAGUUGAUUUCUUCCAAGUUCUAUGGUAUGGUUCAACGAAAUUGGAUUGAACAUCUGCAUAAAAGCUUGUGGUUCUUCAUUCAGGCCGCUGAUAAAACUUGCUACGAAGUAAUCUUCAGAGCACUCCCCCUUAUUAUGAGUGACAUUCAUGCUUUUAACUCUUCAAAUUUCUCCAUGUAGUCAUCGUAGCUCUCUCCUUGUCUAAUCUUAUUGAAUUCAGCAAUUAUCUUAGCUUCCUUUAACUUCUCAAACCUUGCUGAAAUGAGAUCAACAAACUGCUGCCACUCAAUAUCGAUCUGUCGGGAUGACAAAUUCAGGUACCAUUGUGAUGCCCUACCAUCAAAAUGCAUUGAGGCCAGUGUGACCUUAUGUUCAUCAGGAAUAUUAGGAAUCAACUUGAAAUAAACUUGG
rnacentral:lncRNA from 1 species